rnacentral:rRNA from 1 species
AACGAACGCUGGCGGCAGGCUUAACACAUGCAAGUCGAGCGCCCCGCAAGGGGAGCGGCAGACGGGUGAGUAACGCGUGGGAAUCUACCCAUCUCUACGGAAUAACGCAUGGAAACGUGUGCUAAUACCGUAUACGUCCUUCGGGAGAAAGAUUUUAUCGGAGAUGGAUGAGCCCGCGUUGGAUUAGCUAGUUGGUGGGGUAAAGGCCUACCAAGGCGACAAUCCAUAGCUGGUCUGAGAGGAUGAUCAGCCACACUGGGACUGAGACACGGCCCAGACUCCUACGGGAGGCAGCAGUGGGGAAUAUUGGACAAUGGGCGCAAGCCUGAUCCAGCCAUGCCGCGUGAGUAAUGAAGGCCCUAGGGUUGUAAAGCUCUUUCACCGGUGAAGAUAAUGACGGUAACCGGAGAAGAAGCCCCGGCUAACUUCGUGCCAGCAGCCGCCGUAAAAC